rnacentral:rRNA from 1 species
GACGAACGCUGGCGGCGUGCUUAACACAUGCAAGUCGAACGGAAAGGCCCUGCUUUUGUGGGGUGCUCGAGUGGCGAACGGGUGAGUAACACGUGAGUAACCUGCCCUUGACUUUGGGAUAACUUCAGGAAACUGGGGCUAAUACCGGAUAGGAGCCCCUGCUGCAUGGUGGGGGUUGGAAAGUUUCGGCGGUUGGGGAUGGACUCGCGGCUUAUCAGCUUGUUGGUGGGUUAGUGGCUUACCAAGGCUUUGACGGGUAGCCGGCCUGAGAGGGUGACCGGCCACAUUGGGACUGCGAUACGGCCCAGAAUCCUACGGGAGGCAGCAGUGGGGAAUAUUGCACAAUGGGCGGAAGCCUGAUGCAGCAACGCCGCGUGCGGGAUGACGGCCUUCGGGUUGUAAACCGCUUUCGCCUGUGACGAAGCGUGAGUGACGGUAAUGGGUAAAGAAGCACCGGCUAACUACGUG